GACGAACGCUGGCGGCGUGCUUAACACAUGCAAGUCGAACGGAAAGGCUCCAGCUUGCUGGAGUCCUCGAGUGGCGAACGGGUGAGUAACACGUGGGUAAUCUGCCCUGCACUCUGGGAUAAGCCUGGGAAACUGGGUCUAAUACUGGAUAUGACCUUUCUCCUUAUGGGGUUUGGUGGAAAGUUUUUCGGUGUAGGAUGAGCCCGCGGCCUAUCAGCUUGUUGGUGGGGUGAUGGCCUACCAAGGCGACGACGGGUAGCCGGCCUGAGAGGGUGAUCGGCCACAUUGGGACUGAGAUACGGCCCAGACUCCUACGGGAGGCAGCAGUGGGGAAUAUUGCACAAUGGGCGGAAGCCUGAUGCAGCGACGCCGCGUGAGGGAUGACGGCCUUCGGGUUGUAAACCUCUUUCAGCAGGGACGAAGCGUAAGUGACGGUACCUGCAGAAGAAGCACCGGCUAACUAUGUG
rnacentral:rRNA from 1 species